CCCGGAGGGAGGGAGGCAGGAAGGAGGAUUCUGGAGAGGUGCCGGGGCUGACUGCGUGUUCCACUGAGCCAGCGUCCUCCUUAGAGCAUCCAUUUAAGGGCACAGGAUUCUUCAAAAAACCUCUAUCUGAUAGAAACUGCAUUUUAAUUUCAUUGGAUGAAAACUGUGUAUUAGCAGGAGCGAGCGAGGCCCGA